ensembl:snRNA U1 U1 spliceosomal RNA
AUACUUACCUGGCAGGGGAGAUACCAUGAUCACGAAGGUGGUUUUCCCAGGGCGAGGCUUAUCCAUUGCACUCCGGAUGUGCUGACCCCUGCGAUUUCCCCAAAUGUGGGAAACUCGACUGCAUAAUUUGUGGUAGUGGGGGACUGCGUUUGCGCUUUCCCCUG